CCUGAGAAACGGCUACCACAUCUAAGGAAGGCAGCAGGCGCGCAAAUUACCCACUCCCGGCACGGGGAGGUAGUGACGAUAAAUAACGAUCCGGAACUCAAAUGAGUUUCCGUAAUCGGAAUGAGUACAAUUUAAAAGCGUUAGCAAGUAUCAAAUGGAGGGCAAGUCUGGUGCCAGCAGCCGCGGUAAUUCCAGCUCCAUUAGUAUAUAUUAAAGUUGUUGCGGUUAAAAAGCUCGUAGUCGAAUCUGUAUCUCAUCAUGUCAGUCGCUCGUAAUUUAAUUUAUGUAGUUUGAUUUGACAUUUUGUAUGAGAUAUAAAUACUGGUGGAUUUUUCAAAAUUGAAAUUUAUUUUUUUAUAUUUAUUUUAUUAUAAAUAUAAAUUAAAUGAUAAUUUUCAAUUUUAAAAUUCGAUAUAAUAAUUUUUAAUUAAAAAAGUUUAUUUUUUAAUUAAAAAAAUAUUUUUUUAAUAAUUGAUUUUUUUUUUAAAAAAAAACUUUUUUAUUAAAAAAAUUUUUUUUAUUUUAAAAAAUUUACUUAAAUUAAAAUUUAAUUAUAUUCUAAUAAAAUUAUUUUUUGUAAUUUUUAUUAGACCAGUAAAAUUACUUUGAAGAAAUUAGAGUGCUUAAAGCAGGCAAAUUUAUAUGCCUUGAAUAUAACAGCAUGGAAUAAUAGAAUAUGAUCUCGAUACUGUUUAAAAAAAGUUUUUUUUUUUUAUUUUAUAUAAAAAAAAAAUAAAAUUGGCUUAAAGAAAUAAAUAAAAAUUUUACUUAAAAUUUUUCACAAAAAAAAAUUAACAAAAUAAUUCAUGUAUUGUUGCAAUAAAAAAAAUUUUUUUUGUUAAAAAAAUUUUUUUUUUUCUUAAAAAAAAGAUUACAAAAAAACUAUUAAUAAUUUUUUUUUUUAUUAAAAAAAAAAAAAAUUAAUUAAUAGUAUAAAAAAUUUUUUUUUAAAAAUUUUUAUUAUAAUUAUUUUUUUUUUGCAUUCAAAAACAAUUAUGAAUAAUAAUUUUGUUAAAAAAAAAAUUUUUUUUUGUUUUUUUUUGUGUUUUAAAAAAAAUUUUAAGAAUUUAUUUCGACAGUAUGAUCGAGAUAAUGAUCAAUAGAGACGGAUGGGGGCAUUCGUACUACGAGGCUAGAGGUGAAAUUCUUGGACCGUCGUAAGACGAACUGAAGCGAAAGCGUUUGUCAAAAACGUUUUCAUUGAUCAAGAACGAAAGUUAGAGGUUCGAAGGCGAUCAGAUACCGCCCUAGUUCUAACCAUAAACGAUGCCGACCAGCGAUCCGUCGAUCUUCAUUCAAAUUGACUCGACGGGCAGCUUCCGGGAAACCAAAGUUUUUGGGUUCCGGGGGAAGUAUGGUUGCAAAGCUGAAACUUAAAGGAAUUGACGGAAGGGCACCACCAGGAGUGGAGCUUGCGGCUUAAUUUGACUCAACACGGGAAAUCUCACCAGGCCCGGACACCGAAAGGAUUGACAGAUUAAUAGCUCUUUCUUGAUUCGGUGGGUGGUGGUGCAUGGCCGUUCUUAGUUGGUGGAGCGAUUUGUCUGGUUAAUUCCGAUAACGAACGAGACUC
rnacentral:rRNA from 1 species